UAGGGAAUCUUCCGCAAUGGACGCAAGUCUGACGGAGCAACGCCGCGUGAGUGAAGAAGGAUUUCGGUUCGUAAAACUCUGUUGUUAGAGAAGAACAGCGCAUAGAGUAACUGUUAUGCGUGUGACGGUAUCUAACCAGAAAGCCACGGCUGACUACGUGCCAGCAGCCGCGGUAAUACGUAGGUGGCAAGCGUUGUCCGGAUUUAUUGGGCGUAAAGCGAGCGCAGGCGGUCAAUUAAGUCUGAUGUGAAAGCCCCCGGCUCAACCGGGGAGGGUCAUUGGAAACUGGUUGACUUGAGUGCAGAAGAGGAGAGUGGAAUUCCAUGUGUAGCGGUGAAAUGCGUAGAUAUAUGGAGGAACACCAGUGGCGAAGGCGACUCUCUGGUCUGUAACUGACGCUGAGGUUCGAAAGCGUGGGUAGCAAACAGG
rnacentral:rRNA from 1 species